AUCGCUUCAAGGCUAUUUUAGCUGUGAUCAAGUGUAGUACCUGUUCUUCUCAGGUUGAAAUCUGAGACGGAAACGAUUCGUUUCCUCUAUAUUUCAUUCGGAUUUUUGAACACACGGAAGGUAAUGAAGCUUGCUUCUACUUGCUCCGGGUUGUCCUGGUUUUGCAUUAUCGCCAGGUUCGGCCCACGUUCC
rnacentral:snRNA from 10 species